CCUACGGGAUGCAGCAGUGAGGAAUAUUGGUCAAUGGGCGCGAGCCUGAACCAGCCAAGUCGCGUGAAGGAUGACUGUCCUACGGGUUGUAAACUUCUUUUGUAAAGGAAUAAAGUCAGGCACGUGUGCCUUUUUGUAUGUACUUUAUGAAUAAGGAUCGGCUAACUCCGUGCCAGUAGCCGCGGUAAUACGGAGGAUCCGAGCGUUAUCCGGAUUUAUUGGGUUUAAAGGGAGCGUAGAUGGGUUGUUAAGUCAGUUGUGAAAGUUUGCGGGUCAACCGUAAAAUUGCAGUUGAUACUGGCAGUCUUGAGUACGGUUGAGGUAGGCGGAAUGCGUGGUGUAGCGGUGAAAUGCAUAGAUAUCACGAAGAACUCCGAUUGCGAAGGCAGCAUACU
rnacentral:rRNA from 1 species